CGGAACGUGUCCCGUAUGGGGGAUAACGCCGCGAAAGCGGCGCUAAUACCGCAUAUGCUCUACGGAGGAAAGUGGGGGACUCGUCAGGCAACUGAGGGGCCUCACGCUAUGGGAGCGGCCGAUGUCCGAUUAGCUUGUUGGUGGGGUAAUGGCUUACCAAGGCGACGAUCGGUAGCUGGUCUGAGAGGAUGAUCAGCCACACUGGGACUGAGACACGGCCCAG
rnacentral:rRNA from 1 species